rnacentral:tRNA from 1 species
GCGGCGGUGGUGAAAUUGGUAGACACGCUAGCUUGAGGGGCUAGUGACCGUAUGGUCGUGGGGGUUCAAGUCCCUUCCGCCGCA